UUAAAGUCUCCUGAAGGAACGUUGAAGACGACGACGUUGAUAGGCCGGGUGUGUAAGCGCAGCGAUGCGUUGAGCUAACCGGUACUAAUGAACCGUGAGGCUUAACCUUAC
rnacentral:rRNA from 1 species